rnacentral:lncRNA from 1 species
GGUAUUUGUAAUACGUUUGUAAUACGAGUACACAAAUUGGUGUGUAAAUCCGCAAGCAGUGAACAGUGUGUGGCGUUUACCUAUAGCUAUACUGACGCGUUGAUAUAAUCUUCAGGUAUAUAUAUUUUAUAUUGAUAACCAUAAUUAACCUGCUAAUAAUUCAUUGUUUAAAAUCAAGGUGAGUAACAUACAUAACGACAUGGAAAAUUCUAAGUUUGGAUGUUAAAUUUGACCUCUAGACGUACUUAUUAGGUCAAACCAAAGUCAAAAUACUUGUAAAAAUGUCGUUACGCAUUUACAUUGGUUAUCACAAAGCAUAUAAAAGCGUGAUACAUGUACAGUUCACAAUUAUCGCUAAAAAGGAAAUGUUCAAGUUUUCUAUUACAUCAGUUUGAUUGAACGUGGGAAACGGUUUUGAAAAAAGGGGGAGGUCUUGUUAUUUUCCCAUCUUCAGGUCUACACGUGUCCAGAUUUUGUUUGUGCCACACGAAAAAGUAUUUUAAAAUAUCCACACUUCAUUAUGCACCAUGUUUCUUUAAAACAAUGUGUGAUAUCAAGACAUAGUUCUAAAAUUGUCCACAUUGUCACCAAUGAACUUCAAUGUCAUGAUUUUAUUACAUGACAAAUGUAGUUUCUGAAUACACAUUCCAAUGCAUUAAAUGUAUGGAGUAUUCAUAUAAUUUUCUAGAACUUCCUGGAUUCUGCUGCUGUUUGAAGGCUAGUCCAAGAUCCGCCUCAGGAGCAAAUAUUACAGGUGUACAUUGUACAACUGGACUGAUUAAGGGCCGGGACAACCAUGGUUUAUAAAACAGCAGUACUUUAAACCAUUAUGUUUAAAAUUUAUUAAUAAAACUACGGUUUUAACUCCUUGGGUCUUCAGUCCAGAUUUUGCCGAAGGCCCACCGGCCCAAGAUUUUAAAAAGUCUGUAUGAUGUGAAAGAAUUUCUACUGCAGGCCAAUAUACGGCAUGUAUGGUAUUAAAUCUACUGGGUCUGGGAAGGCCAACUGAAAGGUGUGUGGUACAGACCAUUGAUGGCAAAAAAUUGUCUUUUUAAUGAUGAUGGGAGUUUAAAACAACCUUGACUGGUUAAACAGCCCUUGUUGCACGGUCGGUAACAUUAUGAGGGUCAAUAUUUUGAUUUUCUGGUGGGGGUCCAGGAGGAAUUUGAAAAUGAUUAGCCUGGUUAGCGCUGAAUAUAAAUAAUGAUAUAUCAUGGACAUAAGAUUGGAUAAAAAAUAUUCUGCAACACGGAAAUGCAAGAAAUAAACAUGUUCAAAAGGGCAAAUGAAGCUGAAAGGUUGUGGAACAAAAUUAUCAUGUGUACAUGUACCAACAGAUGACAAUGAAUGGUCAAUCUGCAAAAAAUCCUCCUGCCUCAGUGCCCAAACAUCAAAUGGUUGUCCCUAAAUAAGUCCAGGUGUUAAAUGUAUACCUGUAUUGUUGCUGCUUUGCGAGGUGGAUCUUAGUAACAUUAGGUUAUAUGAUGUUUCUAGUGCUCUGUUUACUGUAUGCAUUGCUUCUAAUAAUGCCAUAAACAAACCGUAAAAAAUAUACAUCAAUGCUCACUUACUGUCGUGACAGUAAAUCAUGAAAUAUUGAAGGUACUUAAAAAACAAAAUUUCACUAUUUUAUACCAGGUAUAUAAAUUAAACUUAUUGUUUUGUUCACCUCAAAUAAAACCUGACAUUGACUUGUGAAAUCUAUUAUUAGAAGUUCAAUAUUUGUCUGGCCUGAACGAAAUUUGCAAAAACAAAACUUUACUGUUUCAAAUGUAAAGGUUUAUCAUUACGAUUCGGCAUAAAUGGAACCUAAGAAUUCAAUGGCACAACUUGUCCCUUUUGAGAUUAAGUGCCACGCUCUCAGUCACAGAUUAUUGUGUCAGUUCAUCAUGUUCAUUGACAUUUUAAUUUGCAUUAAUAAGUUAACAUGUAACACAGGUGAAAGUCAGAGACAUAUAUAUGUUUUGUCAUCAGAUUUACCUGUACAUUAAUUAUCAAAAGGUUAAUUCUAGAAAAUAUGCAUUACAAAGGAAGUAUUUCAGUUUUGUUACAUAAUCACUACAUGUUUGGAAUAAAAAUCAACAUUUCAUAUAAGUAUCAUGUUAAAAUAUAUACUGCAUAUGCACUACAUGCACAUGUACAAUGUAUAUAGGUCAUAAAGUCAUAUGCCUUUGAUUUAUUAUGUUUUGGAUUGUAAUUUCCAUUACCUGAAAGUACCAUACUGUCUUUUGUAGAAAAUAUUGAAAUUUUUUCACCAAUGCUACAUAUAGGAAGAAAUCAGUUUCUAUUUACCAUGUUUACCAAAACCAUAUGUGGGAACAAACUGCAAUAGGCAAGCUUUUCACCUUGAAACAAACAAAAAUCAACAUUGUCUUGUCAGCGCAUGUUGGCUUCAAGUGUUGAAGGGUCUUGUGUUCUCUCUGCAAGUUAAAAUUAUGUGUCUAUGUCAGGGUGCCAUGCUUUCCUACAGACUGUUACUUAGUGAAAUAGCAUAUUAAAGAUCAGAUUCAGUGGGUUGGUCUAAUACAACAUGUACAAAGCUUUAUCCUUAUUCUAAACAUGUAUGACAAUAUCAUCUGAUGGCUUCAAGUUAUUUUUCAAAGUCAAAUUUUGUUGGUAAAUUUAUAAAUUUUCUUUUAAAGCUUAUAUUGAUUAAACUACAUAACCAAAAAAGAUCUAUUGAACUUUUAAAAUCGACUGAAUAACCAAAUAUUUACACACAUACAAUAGUCAUGAAAACAACACAAUUGAAAUAGAAUAUAAAGAAAAGCACCAGCAUUGCACUGUCAUGAAGUUUAAAUGAGUCUCUCAGUCUUAUAUUGUCAUGGAGAGAAAUUAAAGUAAAGAAUAGUUUAUUUUAAACUGGGUAAAAACACUCUGAAUAUAGAAAAGUUUUUAAAAAAAAUGCAUAAUAUAUAUGAUAUACAUGUAUGUAUACAUUAAAGUUUGUAAAAUGUACUUUUGUUGUGAUGCACCUGUACAUUUCACAUGUAUAUUUCAAUAAAAACAGCAAUGCAACGAAAACAAUUUUACUUAUGUAUGUUUAAUACUGGCCAACAGAAAGUUUUAUCAGCUACAUUUAUAUACAUGUAUGUACAGUUUCAUAUGGUAAUAUAGCAAUAGCACAUGUACAUAGUGUACAGAGACAAUUAAACUACUCAUAGUUCUCACUAAGUCAUUGUAUGUAGAGUCGAGAGUCCUGGACUAACGAAAAUCUGUCUGGAUUGACUCACCAUUUUCAAAACUGGAUCAAGAUUGAAAUAUUUUGUAUUAACACACAUCAUUUUAUAGCAAAAGUCAAAAGUAUUCUGAAUUUUUAAAAAGGAAUUUCAGUGCUGGAUUAGGUCAUAAAGACUAAAAUCAUGAUAAAUUAUAUUGCAAUAAAAUAUCUUUUUCUUACUGUUGGACUCACCAUCAUGACCAUGGCCAACAGUGAUGAGUCCCUGGCCUUCAAAAAUCCUUAGGGAAGACCCUUAGUUAUUCUUUUGGCAUUCACCUCCAAUUUAGGUAUUAUUUUGAAAUGACUCGUAUAGGUAUUAUUUUGAAAUAACGCAUUUAGGUAUUAUUUUGAAAUAACUCAUUUAGGUAUUAUUUUGAUAUAUUUAACCUGGACUUCAUUGUUUUUUCAGAUUUGCACAGAAAACUUAUUGUCAAGAUGAUUUCAUUAGAGAGCUGUUUGGUAUUUAUUCUGUCAACCAUCAUUCCAGCAAUAUACUGUGAGGGAGACGACAAGCUUGGUGAGUUAUCUCUUUUUAAACCAGUUACAAAUAGUAUGAAAUUCAAAACAGUGUAGCUGUGGUCAUUGAUUGACCCAUAAAUCAUCCAUGACUGGGCAAUUUACGUGAACGUUUGUCUGUAACAACCACUGUUCAUGACGUACCUACGAGACAUUUAAACUGUGGGGUCAACAAAGUUUCUUAACGCCUUUAAUUAAAAAUAAUUCGAAAAAUUAAUCAGGAAUAACCUUUGUGUUUUGAUUUAUUAAUUGAUAUAAUAAAAUAUCGUGUUAUUUCUGAUUAAUUUUUUUCGAACUUACUUUAUUUAGGUGUUGAGAACCUUUGUGACCAUAGUUUAGUGUCUUUAAAAGUACAUAGUGAGCAUUGGUCGUUACAUACAAACGUUCACCUAAAUUGUCCCAGUCAAUGAAUGAUUUUAAUGUGUCAAUCAAUGGCCACAGCUACACUGUUUUGAUUUUCAUACUAGAGCAGAGUUAUCUCCCAUGUUGACAAAAUAUUUUAUAUAUAUAUAUACUGAGUGCCAAUGAAAACGCACACUGUUGAUUUUCAAAAAAAUCCUAAAAUUUUAUUUUAUUAUAUAUUAGACUUUGUUAGUUUUGGUUGAAAAUGACUUUUUUAGACAAUUUGUCGAAUAACUUUACGGUUGAGUGAUUUUUUGGAACAAAUGCGAAGUAAGGGUUUAUUUUCUGCAGGGAAUAAACCGAAGUUCACCGGCUUUUUCAACAUACGCUAUUUUCACGAUUUGUAAUUUAAAGCUUGGGUAAUGUCACGUAUUUUCCCGCCUUAUUGUUUGAGAACUCCAUAAACAUCUGAGUAAAUGCCAGGACUUUUCUGACAACCAGCGACAUGCAGUUUUGGGCAUGAUCCAUGAAGCCUUUUAAAAGCAUCACUUACGAGAAAGAUGAGUUUGUAGCUCUCAAUAACGCAAAUCAUCCAACAAAUUCACCAAAUUGGAUCAUUUUAAUGAUAAGCACAUCCCGGGGUAACAAAAAAGCAAGAAACGUUAGAAGACCGAUACAUUUGGUUUUAAAUAUCCUGAUAAUCGGGCUCUGAGGGCUGUCAAUGUCACAGAGAGUUCAAUUGGUAGUCACGGUAGAACCUUUGGAGCAAUUUCAGUAAAGCGCCAUUUGCGCAGAAAUUGUUAAAGAGCACCACAGUCUUUCUUUAGUGACAUCCAAACGGCCGUCUGGCGUAGACAUCAGAUUCUGUAGACCAAAAAUCAUUUCUUAUUGUACCAAAAACCGUCAGUGGUGGUUACAUAGACAUUUGGCACCCUUCUUAUCCAAAAGUCAUGCUUUUCGCCGGAUUUUGGUCCGAUCGAGCAAAUUUUGCAUCAGAUUUGACAUGGUUUAGACGAUGAAAACCACCACCAAUAUCAUAAAGUCAGAUUGAGUUUUCUUUGCGGGAUAAGUGGAAUAACAUUCUUAGGGAUCACAUUUAAACGUCUGGGAUGAUCAAUUCCACGGCGCUGUCGAGAUUGCGCUGAACCACGGGGUUGUAACAUUUUUUGUUAGGACUGUGAGUUGAUGAUUCGACAUUGGAUGUUUCGUUUACCUAUUGCGCCCGAAAGAUGACAAUGAAACAUUUUUGUUUGAUAUCGAUUUAUUGUUAAAAUUGUUAAUUUUCAAGAACAAUUUAUUUUGAAAGAUUAUCAUUUCUAAUAUAAAUUUUAUUUUAAAAAAACUAAGUUUUGCGUUUUCAUUGGCACUCAGUAUAAUUUCUCUAAUUCUUCGUGAAUUAAUUCCUUUCUGCACCCAUUGUAUAAAAAUUUUAAUCAAUGUGUGGUUCGUUUGAUCUCAGUUCAUCAUUGGUUAAAAUCUGAUUAUGCUUUCCUUUGAAUUUCCUAUUGUGACGACAUGAAAAAAGGCGACCAUGUCUGAUGACGUCACAUCUUUUUGCUGAUCAUUCGUAAAGAAGGAAUAAGUUUGCCUGCAUAUGUUUGAAAAGCAUUAGAGAAACAGAUUCCACCACCAAAUCUUAUUAUUAUUUAUAAUCAAUAUUUAUCCCCUCUCGACAGUAAAUUUUUAAAUAUUUAAAACGUUCUGUAAUUUAACUGUCUCCAUAAAUAUCGUAUCACACUGGAUGCAGUGGUAGAAUCUAUAUGUACCAUACUUCUAUUGUAUUUAUUCAUUUUAAAACUUUGUCAGCUGGCACUUUUGUGCAUUAAAGAAAAAUGUCAACAAGACAACAAAUGAUGUCAGAUAACAGGAAAUGAUAUUUUUUUGUUUGUUUUUUCUCACAAUGUAAAUUUAAAGACUACCCUGUAUAAACAAUUCUUUUGACAGACAGAAAAAUAUAAAACAAACAUUUCUGCAUUAAAUUUUGACAAUGUGACAGUGUGUUUAAAUUUAACUUAAAAGUUUUAGUGACUAAAUUGAACAAAGAUAUGACCAGUGCCAAAAUCUUAAUUUAAAGAUUAAUACACUAAUUUUGAAUACUCAAGUUCUGACCAUUUCACACUUUGUGUAGGAACAUAUUGACAAUAGUGUUUAAUUUUCAGACUAUUGGGUGCAUCAUUUUCUGGGCUCUGAAGGCUGCAUGUCUGUAUCUAUCUCAGUCAGCCCUAUGAAUCAUGCAUGUGUUACAAAAAGAACAAAUAGAGUUAUCUCCCAUUGACUGUAUGAAAUAUUUACUAUUUGUUAAUUUAUUACCUGUUUUUACAUAAUUAAUUUUGAGUGAAGAUGAGAAAAGGAACUGUUUAAAGUUUACAGCAGCAUUCAAAACCCUUUAAAAUAUAAAUACAAUUAUAUACUUUCACUUACUUUAAACUUCUAGUAAAUCAUACUACAAUGAAAUCCAAACACAGUACUUUAAUAUUUCCCAGCAAUUCUGGAAAAAGUUCCUGUUUUAACUAUUAAAUUGUAAAAUAUUGAUUAAUGCAUUUCCCAAGACACACCUAUUGUCAGAAGUUGAAAAGGAUGUAUAAUUUAAUGGAUUUAUGCUUGUGAUAAUAGAUAAUUAUUGAUUUUUUUUAAGAAAGAAUAGUUUGAUAUACUCAUAUUAACAAAUCUAUACUACAAUAUAGUUGGACUUUAAAUUAAUAAAAGCUAGCAAUCGGAGCUACAUGUAUCUUUGUAUAGCAAAGGAUUAAGAAAAAUGAAAGUUUUGUUUUUCAUUUUUCAGCAAAUCCUUCGAGUUCUUUCCUAUGAUUACAUAACAGUUUUCUUAUUUUCUUUUUUUAUAUAGAAUCCAAUUACAAGCACCCUGAUGUAGCAGCAGAAAGACAACAGACUGUCAUUAUCGGAGUUGUUGUCGGUCUGUGUCUAGCCUGUGUUUUCCUGGUCAUUCUCUGCAUCUCAUACAACUACUACAAACACAAGCCAUACAGGAACACCCCACGUGAUGUUGAAGAACCAUUAACAGCAAUGAAAUAAACAGGAAAUGACAAUUGACUAUGGAAUCAUGGGUAAUUCCACAUUCCAUUUGUUGGAAUUAUAUUGUAGUUGCACAUGAUAUGGAAUUUCCCAUGAUUCUAUAGGAUUUUUUGUGAUAAAAGAAAGAAGACACAUUUUGAAACAGCUGAAAAUUUGAAAAAACUAACAUUAGAAUCUCAAUGCAAGACACAACGAAAGGAGAUUUGAUACUCUUUUUUUUUACCAAGAAUUGAAAUGUACAGGAUAGAUAAUAUUAUUGUCUCCCUUUUCAAAAAGUUUAUGAAAUAAAAGGACCAAAAAAUCUUUUAUCAAAUCAGCAAAUCAGUAAAUUACAUACAUAACAAUGUAAUAAUUCUGAGAAAAAUAUUAACUGUUAUUUUUCUUUAGUGAUCUUCAUUGUCAGAGGAUGGUACAAAAUGAUAUUCCUGAUUCAUUGAGUUUCAUAUUAAUAGAAACAUUUCAUAAACAAAGAAACCAUUUAAAGAAAUAGUCUGAAUAAGUUUUCAACUGUCAAACCUGUACAAUAAGAUAUGAAUCAGAUGGUAGUAUUAUAGUAGAAAUGCUUAUUUUUGCUCAUUGUGCAAUUUUGUAAUUUUAUAUAUAGUUGUAUACCAUACAACUUGGGAUUUUGUACAUUAAAAUCAUAUAUUCAGUUUCACAUAUCCAAUUCAAUGCAAGUCUUAUAUGGUUAAUCAUUAUUUUGUGUACAAUGAAAUGGACAUUGCAUAAUUUUUUUUAAAGUUUGAAUCUCCAGAUUGGAUAAUAACAGACAAUUUAAGUUUAAAGUAUAAGAGAUUGUAGUAGUUAGAAAAUAGGUUAUUAAUACAACAUAUUCCAUUCUCUUAAUCAUUCCUUGUCUAUAUAGAGUAGAUUGUUGUCAAAUGUUCUCUUCCAGUGUAACCAUGGUUACAUUAUUUUGCAUUUUUGCUAUACAUUUGUAUGCAUUUAAUCAUUAUUUUUUUUGUCUGUAUUUUAAACUUAUUUUAUUCUCUAAAUUUUUAUAACCUAAUGACUCCUAAGUCAAGAAAUAUAUUACAUUUUGGUAAAAUAGGAAAAAAAAGAAAUAAAUUGUGAAAUGCAAGUUGAUUUAGUUU